AUGGUGGCGUCUAGCGCCUGCAUAAAGAAGGCCAUUGCCGCGAUCCACGGCAGGCCAGCCAUACUGCGCGCUUUUUUGCUGGUCAUUCAAUAUCCUGUUAAUUAUCUGGUCUCUCAUUGGGCGCUAUUAACAACGCCUGGCAGGCCUGGAAAGCGCGUUCGCCGUCGCCAUCAGCGAUGGCAUCAACAAUGGCCUGGUGCAAAUCCAGCUUUACCACCUCGUUAUAGGUGAUUGAGGUAAAGUAAGUGUGAUAAACCGAAUGAAAUAGCGUAGCAAAAGAGAUUAGAAAGGGAUUGGCGCUCAUUUCGUAGAUAUGCUCGUGCCACGCCAUAUCCACUUCAAUCCAGCGUUCACGCUUAAAAUGCUUUUUCAGCGCGACCAUCUCUUCCAUUAAGGCAUUAAGCCGCGCUUUCUGCUCCGGUGUGCCAAGCGUCGCCGCCAGCAGGCAGGCUUGCGGCUCCAGGCUAAUACGCAUCACCAGAAAAUGAUCUACCACCUGAUGAAAAUUUUCUUCCGUCAUCCACCAGGUCAGCAGUUCUUGAUCCAGAAAGUUCCAGUUUCCCUGCGGCAUCACCCGCGUACCAAUGCGCGGACGGGGUAGCACCAUACCUUUAGCCGUCAACGUUUUCACCGCUUCGCGAACUGCCGUUCGACUUACGCCGUACUGCUCGCCCAGUUCUAUUUCGCCGGGAAGAAUCGUACCGGGGGCGUAGUCACCCUUUAAUAUCCGCUGCGCCAGCUUUUCAGCCAGAACAUAGGAUAGAUUUUUCUGUGCGGCUAAUUGUUGUGCGCUUAAAGGCAUGAAUGUUCUUCCUUUCUCUUUCGUUUGGUUAUUAGUAUGCCACCUGGAAGUGUGAUUGCAGUUGCAUUAACGGCAAUUUGCUUAUUUUAUGGCACGUUAAGCACGCCAUUGAUGAAAAAAGAGACACUCAGAAAAUUAUUUU
rnacentral:rRNA from 1 species